CCUACGGGUGGCAGCAGUGAGGAAUAUUGCGCAAUGGGCGAAAGCCUGACGCAGCGACGCCGCGUGAAGGAUGAAGGUCUUCGGGUCGUAAACCUCUUUCAACAGGGAAGAACGGUCCCUUAGCUAAUCAGCUUUGAAUUGACGGUACCUGUAAAGGAAGCACCGGCUCACUCCGUGCCAGCAGCCGCGGUAAUACGGAGGGGGCGAGCGUUGUUCGGAGUUACUGGGCGUAAAGCGCGCGUAGGCGGUAUGUCAAGUCAAUAGUGAAAUCCCAGGGCUCAACGUUGGAAUUGCCUUUGAGACUGGCAAACUGGAGUGUGUGAGAGGAUAGUGGAAUUCCAGGUGUAGGAGUGAAAUGCGUAGAUAUCAGGAGGAAGAUCAGUGGCGAAGGCGACAAGCUGG
rnacentral:rRNA from 1 species